rnacentral:rRNA from 1 species
GACGAACGCUGGCGGCGUGCCUAAUACAUGCAAGUAGAACGCUGAAGAGAGGAGAUUGCUCUUCUUGGAUGAGUUGCGAACGGGUGAGUAACGCGUAGGUAACCUGCCUGGUAGCGGUGGAUAACUAUUGGAAAAGAUAGCUAAUAACGCAUAACAAGAGUUGUUGCAUGACAGCUGUUUACAAGAUGCAAUUGCAUCACUACCAGAUGGACCUGCGUUGUAUUAGCUAGUUGGUGAGGUAACGGCUCACCAAGGCGACGAUACAUAGCCUGCCUGAGAGGGUGAUCGGCCAAACUGGGAAUGGGAAACGGCCCAGACUCCUACGGGAGGCAGCAAGAGGGAAGCUUCGGACAUGGGGGGAACCCUGACCGAGCAACGCCGCGGGAGUGAAGAAGGGUAUCGGAUCGUAAAGCUCUGUUGUAAGAGAAGAACGGGUGUGAGAGUGGAAAGUUCACACUCUGACGGUAUCUUACCAGAAAGGGACGGCUAACUACGUG